CGCGCGCCCGUGGGGAGGACCCCCCGCCCGCCGCCGCCGCGCCUCGCCCGCGACCCCGCACAGGCCCCGGCCGGCGCGCGCGCCGCCCGCGUCAACCGCCAGUCCCUCCGUCCCGCAGAGCUUCCUCACCGGCGCGACACAGUCCGGCGUCCCACGGCCCCCCCGUCACGCACGGCAGCCUCGCGCCUGCCCGGCCGUCAGUUGCACACGCACAGGCGGCUGCUCAGCCCACUGUCCCGCACAGGCCUGGCCGCAGCAGUUUCCUCAAGCCCGCUCCUCGAGCGCCGCCCGCACAGCGACCGCGAGGAGAGUGCAACCUGUCUGACAGAUGUUGAGCCAGGCAGAGCAGGACAAUGUUCUGCAGUUCAGAGCUGAGAGGCCCAGCAGAGCACCCAGCUGAUGCUAGAGAGAUCCAGGCUUCCAGGAAUGUGCUUGCUGCUACCACCCAGGAUGUCCUUCACAACUAGUCUUGACCAGCAUCUAGUUGCUCUGCACCUGCCCUCAGAAGAAAAAAGUUUCUUGCUGGGAAAGGUAGGCACAAUUUCCUGCUCAUCAGUAAAAUCUGCCUGCAAGGUCUCCUGUCCUCGAGUUUUAGUUGUGGUCCAAGGUGGGUCCCCUGGUUGAGGCAGGUCCUGCUGAAGUGUAUUGAUUGGGCGCUGGACUAGCAUGUCUGCUGCUAUCCCUACCUUCAGCCGUCUACCACCUCAGCACCACAGAACUCAACAAUACCUGGCUGCGGUCUCUUGCUCCAAAGCAAUAAUGGCUGCAUAAACUUUCAUUCCCUGGGUGAAUGCUGCCUCCCUCCCCGACUACUGAAUGCAGGCUGCCAGGAAGGCCCCUCUAGGACUCUCUGCAGUAGGCCCAGCCCAGCCCCCAGAGCUCAGAGCCCAUCAGGGCAGAUAGCGCCCCCCCUCAGAAAACACCUGUGUGUGCUCGCAAGGGCUAGCCAAGUGACCAGUUCUGACCCCUUUGGCCUUCCUACUCCCUGCUCCAUUUGCCCAGGAGACCUCAUCCUUCAACCUGAAUUCCAGACUUAGCUGUAAUCUAAGAUGAAAGGACUAACAAUUUUUGUAGGGACCCUAGCCAGCUUGGAUGCUAGAGCCCUGGAAAGUGGUCACAAACCACUCCUCGUCUCAGGCAACACAAGAAGACUGCAUUCCAUCUGCGAGAGAGCUUCUGGGAUCCAGUGUUCUAGUUGGCUUAGCACCCUUAAUUCCUGCCAUCCUGACUGAAAGCUGAGCCACAUAAGCAAACCCAAAGAAGUUCCCCACUGCUUCUGGCCAGCACACAUGAAGUGUGUUCCAGGACCUGUCACUCAAAUACACUUGCUCAAUCUUGCUCAAUAAACCCACCCUAGGCUCCAAAUAUAC
rnacentral:lncRNA from 1 species